AGCUGUGGAUCCUAUGUCUGACUUUCACACAUGAGCUAUCUAGGGACGGUAAACUCCAGUUUUUAGAUUUGCAGCUAUCUUUACAAGCAGAUCACGCAUGUUGAAUGUACUCGCCACGUGCACGUAAGGAACUUUUACCUUAUGCGUCUGCGCACUCAAAGAUUGUCAAACGCGCCAUUGCCUUGAUGUGUCUAGAAUCUUCGUUAAAGAAAUCGUGUCAUCACACUGCGAGCCAGAGUUUCAUUGCACAGUUAAAUAGGCUGAAGGCGGCGGGUUACCCAAGUGUGAUGGUGACCUCGGUCUCUGAGGUAUUGCUUCAGAGACUGAAAGGGAAGCGUCACAAAAGUAACUGUGUUACUCAAAAGAAGAGGCCUGAAGUUGUGCCGUAUUGCCAUAGAGUGGCUCACAUUCCAAAGAAUGUCGCCACUAGACACAAUGUCCCAGUAUUGUUUUCUGCUCCU
rnacentral:lncRNA from 1 species